GCGUCUUUAGCUCAGUUGGUAGAGCAUCGCACUUUUAAUGCGAGAGCCCGGAGUUCGAGUCUCCGAAGGCGCACCA
rnacentral:tRNA from 1 species